UAUUGGACAAUGGGCGCAAGCCUGAUCCAGCCAUGCCGCGUGAGUGAUGAAGGCCUUAGGGUUGUAAAGCUCUUUUGUCCGGGAAGAUAAUGACGGUACCGGAAGAAUAAGCCCCGGCUAACUUCGUGCCAGCAGCCGCGGUAAUACGAAGGGGGCUAGCGUUGUUCGGAAUCACUGGGCGUAAAGCGCACGUAGGCGGACUUUUAAGUCGGAGGUGAAAUCCCAAGGCUCAACCUUGGAACUGCCCCCGAUACUGGGAGUCUUGAGUAUGGUAGAGGUUAGUGGAACUGCGAGUGUAGAGGUGAAAUUCGUAGAUAUUCGCAAGAACACCAGUGGCGAAGGCGGCUAACUGGACCAUUACUGACGCUGAGUCGAAAG
rnacentral:rRNA from 1 species